AAAAAACAGCAGCACUUGUUGACUACGGUGGAAACUAGGUCCGCCUGGCAUCGCGACCCCAGCGGAGAGGCAGUAAUCAGGAUAAAGCACUACGCCAGUCGAGCGGGACACCAGUCAGUAUGUGAGCUGCUCCUGGACCAGGGGGCCCGUGCUAAUUCUCAAACUGCAUAAGGCUGCUGAGCAGGGUCACGUGGACGUGUGCGAGUUGUUGGUGAUGAACUGUCCUGCCUUGAGAAGCAUGAAGGAUAAAAGAUCACGCU